rnacentral:rRNA from 1 species
AGAGUUUGAUCAUGGCUCAGAAUCAACGCUGGCGGCGUGCCUAACACAUGCAAGUCGAGCGAGAAAAGGGGGGCAACUCCCUGAGUACAGCGGCGCACGGGUGAGUAACACGUGGGUAAUCUGCCCUGGAGUGGGGAAUAACACCGGGAAACCGGUGCUAAUACCGCAUACGAUCAUGAUGUCUGCGGACGUUGUGAUGAAAGGAGCAAUUCGCUCCAGGAGGAGCCCGCGGCUGAUUAGCUAGUUGGUGAGGUAACGGCUCACCAAGGCGACGAUCAGUAUCCGGUCUGAGAGGACGGUCGGACACACUGGAACUGAGACACGGUCCAGACUCCUACGGGAGGCAGCAGUGGGGAAUUUUUGGCAAUGGGGGAAACCCUGACCAAGCAACGCCGCGUGGGUGAUGAAGUCCCUUGGGACGUAAAACCCUUUCGACGGGGAAGAAACCGCAAGGUUGACGGUACCCGUAGAGGAAGCCCCGGCUAACUCCGUGCCAGCAGCCGCGGUAAUACGGGGGGGGCAAGCGUUGUUCGGAAUUACUGGGCGUAAAGGGUGCGUAGGCGGUGCUCUAAGUCGGAUGUGAAAACUCUGGGCUCAACCCAGAGCCUGCAUCCGAAACUGGAGUGCUAGAGUUCUGGAGGGGGUAGCGGAAUUCCUGGUGUAGCGGUGAAAUGCGUAGAUAUCAGGAGGAACACCGGUGGCGAAGGCGGCUACCUGGACAGAAACUGACGCUGAGGCACGAAAGCUAGGGGAGCAAACAGGAUUAGAUACCCUAGUAGUCC